rnacentral:rRNA from 1 species
UACGUAGGGGGCAAGCGUUGUCCGGAAUUACUGGGCGUAAAGGGCUCGUAGGCGGCCAACUAAGUCAGACGUGAAAUCCCUCAGCUUAACUGGGGAACUGCGUCUGAUACUGGAUGGCUUGGAUUCGGGAGAGGAAUGCGGAAUUCCAGGUGUAGCGGUGAAAUGCGUAGAUAUCUGGAGGAACACCGGUGGCGAAGGCGGCAUUCUGGACCGACAUUGACGCUGAGGAGCGAAAGCCAGGGGAGCAAACGGG